GUAGACAUCAUUUGGCACCAAGAAGAUGACCAGAGCAUGCGUUGUCGGUGGUGACCACGGGGCUAUGCCAGCCAAAUCGGUGGUCUGCGCACUGUUGGCCACAGUGGCGCCGCUCCGUCCGGUUCUGGCUCGUCCAAGCUUGUCAACCAGCUCAGCCUCAUCGUCGCCGUGCGCCUUGGCCCGUUUCCCCUUCGUUUUCUUCCUCGUCGAGCCGUCGCUGUCGCCGCACAGUCCCUGCCCGUGUGCACCGUCGCUUCCUCGCUCUUGUCCCCUUCUCCCUCUCGUCCACGAGCGCCCCUCGUCUCCGUGAGCCCCUGCGCAUCGUCCGCAUCCCCCUCGUCGUGUCCCCGUCGCUUCCUGUGGCCUUUGGCCGCGCAUGCACGUCGCCGGCGCGUGGACACGUAGCCGUGCCGCGUGUCACCUCCUCCCCUCCCCUAGAGCUCAUCCCCGUGGCUAUUUAAGCCCGUCCCGAGCUCCCUCGCAGUCCUCAAGCCUCCCCAAGCCCUUCACUCGUCCCCGGAGUCGCUCUCCGAUCCCCACCAUCACCAUGGCCGCAGUUUCGGGCUUCGCUCGAUCCCGGCAACGCCGUGCCACCCUCACCGUUCCACCACCACCUAUGCGUUCCCCGAGGUCCGGCGCACCUUCCCGUAGCCUUGCCCACCCAGUUCCCCCACCGGAGCCCCCUGUUCGGCGGAGUCCGAAGACCACCUCCGCGGCGAGCCCUGCUGCUCCUUCUCCCGUGCUCCUCGCCGGCAACGGACACGACCACGGGAUGCGCCUCUCGCUCCUGAGCUCGUGGAUAGGUCGGCCGUCGUCUGAGGCGGCCGGAGCCGCCGGCAAUCGCCGUCGAGGCGGGCAUCUCCCUCGGCCAGGCGCGCGUACGUGCGGGAGGAAGAAGAAGCCAGGACAGGCGGGCCCCACCCUACGAGACCCACCUGUCGGCGAGAGGAGGACGUGGCUCCGCUGGCCACGUCGGAUAAGUGGACACGCCCGCCCGGGGAAGCCGUUUCCCUGCUCUGGAAACGUGUUCCUGGUGAAUACGUUUUCCAUGUCAGAAAACGUAUUGCCUGGGCAGUUCGGCCCAUAAUGCGUUUCCCUGUGCGGAAAACGUAUUCAGCCCAAAGGCACGUUUAGUUUUUCCUCCAGGGGCCUGUUUGCUGAAAAACUUUCACCGAUAGGUCCCUGAACUUCAACCCUGCGUAUCUCGACAACCGUAACUCCGAUUGAGCCCCCUCCGAGAGAGAACUGUUUCCGGCAAAUCUUUUCGCGAUCGUUCCGCACUUUUUUCGGAGUAAUCCUCGACCCCAGGCAAGCCAACCUCUUAUCAUGAGCCCUGAACUUGCGUGUUGACUUUGCUGGUACCUCGUGUGUGUGUGCUUAGUUGCAGUAGUUUCUGUCUGUUUCGUCUGCCGUUAUUUCAGUUGUGAUAUAUGUUAGUACUGCUUGCUUACCUCUCA